rnacentral:rRNA from 1 species
CGCGUAGGUGGCGGAGCAAGUCAGAUGUGAAAGACCAAAGCUCAACUUUGGGGCCGCAUCUGAAACUGUUUAGCUAGAGGGUAGACGGAGAAAAUGGAAUUUCACAUGUAGCGGUGAAAUGCGUAGAUAUGUGAAGGAACACCGGUGGCGAAAGCGGUUUUCUAGUUUACACCUGACACUGAGGCGCGAAAGCAAGGGGAGCAAACA